GACGAACGCUGGCGGCGUGCUUUAUACAUGCAAGUCGAACGAUGAAGUUCCUUCGGGAAUGGAUUAGUGGCGAACGGGUGAGGAACACGUGAGAAACCUGCCUUUCAUUCUGGGAUACCACCGGGAAACCGGUGCUAAUACCGGAUACCCCGUCUUGGCGGCAUCGCCGAGCAGGGAAAAAAUUUUGAUGAAAGAUGGUCUCGCGGCCUAUCAGCUAGUUGGUGAGGUAAAGGCUCACCAAGGCGACGACGGGUAGCCGGCCUGAGAGGGCGAACGGCCACACUGGGACUGAGACACGGCCCAGACUCCUACGGGAGGCAGCAGUAGGGAAUAUUGGGCAAUGGGCGCAAGCCUGACCCAGCGACGCCGCGUGAGGGAUGAUGGUCUUCGGAUUGUAAACCUCUUUCAGUAGGGAAGAAGCGAAAGUGACGGUACCUAAAGAAGAAGCACCGGCUAACUAUGUGCCAGCCGCCGCGGUAA
rnacentral:rRNA from 1 species